AAUAAGAUGCCUGAUUUAAAGGGUUAUUUUGAUAGAAUAAAUUAUGCAUUUUAUUAAUAAAUGUUCUUAUUA
rnacentral:tRNA from 1 species